CUACGGGGCGCAGCAGUGAGGAAUAUUGCACAAUGGGGGGAACCCUGAUGCAGCAACGCCGCGUGGAGGAUGACGCAUUUCGGUGUGUAAACUCCUUUUAUAUGUCAAGAAAAUGACGGUAGCAUAUGAACAAGCACCGGCUAACUCCGUGCCAGCAGCCGCGGUAAUACGGAGGGUGCAAGCGUUACUCGGAAUCACUGGGCGUAAAGGACGCGUAGGCGGGUUGGAAAGUCAGGUGUGAAAUCCUACAGCUUAACUGUAGAACUGCACUUGAAACUUCUAAUCUAGAGUAUGGGAGGGGGAGAUGGAAUUAGUGGUGUAGGGGUAAAAUCCGUAGAUAUCGCUAGGAAUACCUAAAGCGAAGGCGAUCUCCUGGAACAUUACUGACGCUAAGGCGUGAAAGCGUGGGGAGCAAACAGGAUUAGAUACCCUCGUAGUC
rnacentral:rRNA from 1 species